rnacentral:rRNA from 1 species
ACGCAGUAAACGAUGAAUGCCGGCUGUUCGGGAUGAUUGAGUCCUGAGCGGCGAAGCGAAAGCGAUAAGCAUUCCACCUGGGGAGUACGCCGGCAACGGUGAAACUCAAAGGAAUUGACGGGGGCCCGCACAAGCGGAGGAACAUGUGGUUUAAUUCGAUGAUACGCGAGGAACCUUACCCGGGCUCAAACGGCGGCGGACAGGGACAGAGACGUCCCCUCCUUUGGGCCACCGCCGAGGUGCUGCAUGGUUGUCGUCAGCUCGUGCCGUGAGGUGUCGGCUUAAGUGCCAUAACGAGCGCAACCCCUGCCGGUAGUUGCUAACGGUUAAAGCCGAGGACUCUACCGGGACUGCCGGCGCAAGCCGUGAGGAAGGCGGGGAUGACGUCAAAUCAGCACGGCCCUUACGUCCGGGGCGACACACGUGUUACAAUGGUCGGUACAGAGGGAAGCCAGGUGGCGACACCGAGCGGAACCCGAAAGCCGGUCUCAGUUCGGAUCGGAGUCUGCAACCCGACUCCGUGAAGCUGGAUUCGCUAGUAAUCGCGCAUCAGCCAUGGCGCGGUGAAUACGUUCCCGGGCCUUGCACACACCGCCCGUC